AUUGAACGCUGGCGGCAUGCUUUACACAUGCAAGUCGAACGGCAGCGCGGGCUUCGGCCUGGCGGCGAGUGGCGAACGGGUGAGUAAUACAUCGGAACGUGCCCAGUAGUGGGGGAUAGCUCGGCGAAAGCCGGAUUAAUACCGCAUACGACCUGAGGGUGAAAGCGGGGGAUCUCGGACCUCGCGCUAUUGGAGCGGCCGAUGGCAGAUUAGCUAGUUGGUGGGGUAAAGGCCUACCAAGGCGACGAUCUGUAGCUGGUCUGAGAGGACGACCAGCCACACUGGGACUGAGACACGGCCCAGACUCCUACGGGAGGCAGCAGUGGGGAAUUUUGGACAAUGGGCGAAAGCCUGAUCCAGCAAUGCCGCGUGUGUGAUGAAGGCCUUCGGGUUGUAAAGCACUUUUGGCGGGAACGAAAAGGACUGUGCCAAUACCACGGUUCGAUGACGGUACCCGCAGAAUAAGCACCGGCUAACUACGUG
rnacentral:rRNA from 1 species